AUCUUGCGCAAUGCGCGAAAGCGUGACGCAGCAACACCGCGUGAGGGAAGACGGCCUUCGGGUUGUAAACCUCUUUCAGGAGGGACGAAGGCCGGCCGGUUAAUAGCCGUGUCGGCUGACGGUACCUCCACAAGAAGCUCCGGCUAACUACGUGCCAGCCGCCGCGGUAAUACGUAGGGAGCAAGCGUUGUCCGGAAUCAUUGGGCGUAAAGCGCGCGUAGGCGGCCCGAUAAGUCCGCUGUAAAAGUCAACGGCUCAACUGUUGAAAGCCGGUGGAUACUGUCGGGCUAGAGUACGGAAGAGGCAAGUGGAAUUCCUGGUGUAGCGGUGGAAUGCGCAGAUAUCAGGAGGAACACCUAUAGCGAAGGCAGCUUGCUGGGACGUUACUGACGCUAAGGCGCGAAAGCGUGGGGAGCGAACAGG
rnacentral:rRNA from 1 species